rnacentral:rRNA from 1 species
ACAGAAACUACAAAGGAAUUACGACGGGACCCGGCACAAGCAGCGGAGCAUGUGGUUUAAUUCGAAGCAACGCGAAGAACCUUACCAGAUCUUGACAUCCAAUUGACCAUCUUUUAAUCGAGAUUUUGCCUUCGGGUACAAUUGAGACAGGUGGUGCAUGGCUGUCGUCAGCUCGUGUCGUGAGAUGUUGGGUUAAGUCCCGCAACGAGCGCAACCCUUGUGUUUAGUUGCAAACAGGUCAAGCUGUGCACUCUAGACAGACUGCCGUGGACAACACGGAGGAAGGUGAGGAUGACGUCAAGUCAGCAUGGCCCUUACGUCCGGGGCUACACACGUGCUACAAUGGCCGGUACAAAGGGUUGCGAAGCCGUGAGGUGGAGCGAAUCUCAAAAAGCCGGCCUCAGUUCGGAUUGGAGGCUGCAACUCGCCUCCAUGAAGUCGGAAUCGCUAGUAACCGCAGAUCAGCUACGUUGCGGUGAAUACGUUCCCGGGCCUU